GAUUAAGUUAUUAAGGGCGCACGGUGGAUGCCUUGGCACUAGAAGCCGAUGAAGGACGUUACUAACGACGAUAUGCUUUGGGGAGCUGUAAGUAAGCUUUGAUCCAGAGAUUUCCGAAUGGGGAAACCCAGCAUGAGUUAUGUCAUGUUAUCGAUAUGUGAAUACAUAGCAUAUCAGAAGGCACACCCGGAGAACUGAAACAUCUUAGUACCCGGAGGAAGAGAAAGAAAAUUCGAUUCCCUUAGUAGCGGCGAGCGAAACGGGAAGAGCCCAAACCAACAAGCUUGCUUGUUGGGGUUGUAGGACACUCUAUACGGAGUUACAAAGGACGACAUUAGACGAAUCAUCUGGAAAGAUGAAUCAAAGAAGGUAAUAAUCCUGUAGUCGAAAAUGUUGUCUCUCUUGA
rnacentral:rRNA from 1 species